UUCCUCUUCCGUAUCUGUCACGCCAAACCCAAACCCUACAUCGCAGACCAUGCUUCCCCUUCACCUGGUAAUCGCAGUUUGUAACGAAGCCAAACCCUAGACGAGCAGAAGAAGACGCUGACCCUAGACGAGCAGAAAAAGACGCUGAACCCUACAUGAGUUUCAGCAGGAAAGCCGCGUGAUGCGGCGACGACACAAAAAUGUCUACGUUGUUGUGAGUAUGGACUAUGUGAAAAGGCAUGCAAAAACUCAGCACCAGAAGAUUCUACUCAACAUCAAGCCUCAACAAGUAAAAGGGGACAAGGAAAGAGUGCAAAAUUCGUGAAAGUAAUUAGUCAUAGUUGAGCAAUUGAUUUUGAAUUUUUGGUAUCGUAGUCAUAGUUGGGCAAUUGAUUUUGAAUUUUUGGCGUCGUAUUUGUAAUUCUUAAAUUUUAGGAAACUCUUUGUUUUUUAGCACACAAUUGAUUAUGAACAAGUAAGGAUUGCAUUUUUGAAA